UACAGAGGUCCCAAGCGUUGUUCGGAUUCACUGGGCGUAAAGGGUGCGUAGGUGGUCGGGUAAGUCCGAUGUGAAAUCUCCAGGCUCAACCUGGAAAUGGCAUUGGAUACUAUUCGGCUUGAGGAGUGGAGGGGGACUGGAAUUCUCGGUGUAGCAGUGAAAUGCGUAGAUAUCGAGAGGAACACCAGUGGUGAAGGCGAGUCCCUGGACACUUCCUGACACUGAGGCACGAAAGCUAGGGGAGCAAACAGG
rnacentral:rRNA from 1 species